rnacentral:rRNA from 1 species
UUUCCUACGGGAGGCAGCAGUAGGGAAUAUUGCUCAAUGGGGGAAACCCUGAAGCAGCAACGCCGCGUGAGUGAUGAAGGCCUUCGGGUCGUAAAGCUCUGUUGUACGGGAAAAACGCGGGUGUAGCUAACAUCUACAUCCAGUGAUGGUACUGUAUAAGAAAGGACCGGCUAACUUCGUGCCAGCAGCCGCGGUAAGACGGGGGGUCCUAGCGUUGUUCGGAAUCAUUGGGCGUAAAGCGUGUGCAGGUGGUUUGGUAAGUUGGAUGUGAAAGCCUUGGGCUUAACCCAAGAAGUGCAUUCAAAACUACCAAACUUGAGUAGGGAAGAGGGUCGUGGAAUUCCAGGUGUAGCGGUGAAAUACGUAGAUAUCUGGAGGAACACCGGUGGCGAAGGCGGCGACCUGGUCCUAUACUGACACUCAUACACGAAAGCGUGGGGAUCAAACAGGACUAGACACCCUGGUAGUCCACGCCGUAAACGAUGGAUACUUGGUGUUGAAGGUAUUGACCCCUUUCAGUGCCGGAGCUAACGCGUUAAGUAUCCCGCCUGGGGAGUACAGUCGCAAGAUUAAAACUCAAAGAAAUUGACGGGGGCCCGCACAAGCGGUGGAGAAUGUGGUUUAAUUCGAUGCAACGCGAAAAACCUUACCUGGGUUUGGCAUCCUCUGAACGCCGUAGAGAUACGGAAGGCCCGAAAGGGACAGAGAGACAGGUGCUGCAUGGCUGUCGUCAGCUCGUGUCGUGAGAUGUUGGGUUAAGUCCCGCAACGAGCGCAACCUUUAUCUUUAGUUGCCAGCAUUAAGUUGGGCACUCUAAAGAGACUGCCAACGUUAAGUUGGAGGAAGGUGGGGAUGACGUCAAGUCCUCAUGGCCUUUAUAUCCAGGGCAACACACGUUCUACAAUGGUCGGUACAAAGCGAAGCGAAAUCGCGAGAUGGAGCCAACCGCAAAAAACCGAUCUAAGUUCAGAUUGGAGUCUGCAACUCGACUCCAUGAAGUUGGAAUCGCUAGUAAUCGCGGAUCAGAAUGCCGCGGUGAAUACGUUCCCGGGCCUUGUACACACCGCCA